rnacentral:rRNA from 1 species
AGAACGAACGCUGGCGGCAGGUCUAACACAUGCAAGUCGAACGCUGUAGCAAUACAGAGUGGCAGACGGGUGAGUAACGCGUGUGGACCUUCCCAGUGGUGCGGAAUAGCUCAGGGAAACUUGAGGUAAUACCGCAUAAGCCCUUAGGGGGAAAGAUUUAUCGCCAUUGGAUGGGCCCGCGUCGGAUUAGCUAGUUGGUGAGGUAAUGGCUCACCAAGGCAACGAUCCGUAGCUGGUUUGAGAGAAUGACCAGCCACACUGGGACUGAGACACGGCCCAGACUCCUACGGGAGGCAGCAGUGGGGAAUCUUGGACAAUGGGCGCAAGCCUGAUCCAGCCAUGCCGCGUGAGUGACGAAGGCCUUAGGGUUGUAAAGCUCUUUUGCCGGGACGAUAAUGACGGUACCCGGAGAAUAAGUCCGGCUAACUUCGUGCCAGCAGCCGC